UACGUAGGGUGCAAGCGUUGUCCGGAAUUAUUGGGCGUAAAGAGCUCGUAGGCGGUCAGUCGCGUCUGCUGUGAAAACUCGGGGCUUAACCCUGGACCUGCAUCGGGUACGGGCAGACUAGAGUGCGGUAGGGGAGAUCGGAAUUCCUGGUGUAGCGGUGAAAUGCGCAGAUAUCAGGAGGAACACCGGUGGCGAAGGCGGAUCUCUGGGCCGUAACUGACGCUGAGGAGCGAAAGCAUGGGGAGCGAACAGG
rnacentral:rRNA from 1 species